rnacentral:rRNA from 1 species
GUCGAGAAUCUUUCACAAUGGGGGCAACCCUGAUGGAGCGACGCCGCGUGGAGGAUAAGGUCUUCGGAUUGUAAACUCCUGUCAUGCGUGAACAAGGUUGCUUGGUUAAUACCUGGGCAAAUUGAUGGUAACGCAAGAGGAAGAGACGGCUAACUCUGUGCCAGCAGCCGCGGUAAUACAGAGGUCUCAAGCGUUGUUCGGAAUCACUGGGCGUAAAGGGUGCGUAGGUGGCGUGGUAAGUCAGAUGUGAAAGCCCGGGGCUCAACCUCGGAACUGCAUCCGAUACUGCCAUGCUAGAGUACUGGAGAGGUGACUAGAAUUCUCGGUGUAGCAUUGAAAUGCGUAGAUAUCGAGAGGAAGACCAAAGGCGUAGGCAGGUCACUGGACAGUUACUGACACUGAGGCACGAAGGCCAGGGGAGCGAACGGGAUUAGAUACCCGGGUAGUCC